ensembl:lncRNA
CCCCGAUGGUUUUUUUUUUUUUUUUAACUUUUUUGCUUCCUUAUAGAAUUUGGGGACCUUAAAGUCCCUCUCUGUACUUGUAGUUGCCCUAGGUGCCCUUGAGCAAGUCAGAGGAGACCAGAGAAGCUUUCAAAUCCAAAACUUCUGGUGGGGCAAACCUUGGUUUCCUGCCCCAGUGUAGAGGCCUGGCAGCCCUUCCCUUGCACACAGGCCCUCCUCCCAGGCAUACCCUCACCUUUGCCCAGUGCUAUUAACACUGACUCACGGAUCAAAGGACACCCCAGCAAGGAUUCUUGACCAUGGAGAGCUUCAAAGUGUGGAACUCAAGAAGUCAUAGGCAAACCUUUGUAUAUUUGCAUUUUCUUGGAAACAGAAUCCUCAGAGAUGGCUCACCCUCUGGACAGAUGAAAUGAAGAGGUGGCUGGAGGCUGACUAGGAGGUGGAAGACACUGUGUACAGUAGAAGCAUUGUCCUUUGCUUUGGGUCUACAGAAUUGCCCAGGCCUCUCAAUCCCUCUGAACCUUGGGCAAGCUGUAUUCUAGAAACUUCCCCUGGGAUCAUUCUGAACCCUGUUCACACCACCUAUACCAGGAGCCUUGGACAUAGGCUAGGAGGCCAUUCUCACCUUUGCUGUCUGGCCCUGAUGACACCGGGACCACCACAUUCUGAGGAGAGUCAAGGCUAACCACACUGUCCUGAAAGUGUGAAUGAAGGAGACCAGAAGGGCUGGAAGAUUUCUGUGGCUCCUCUGCCAGCCCUCAAGUUUAAAUGUCAUAAGGUCACCUGAGGGCUUGUUAAACCACACACGAGAGCCCUGUUUCAGUAGGUUUGAGAUGGGGCCCAAGAAUCUGCAUUUCCUACAAGUUCCCAGAGAGGAUCAUGCUGCAGCUCUAGGCAGCACUUUGAGAACCAUUACCCUACACCUUGCCAGAAUUCAGGCUUUAUUUUCUCCAUCACUGUAGACUUGCGGCUACAGCAGAUUUCUGGCUCAAGCUGACCCCAAGAUGCCAGUGUGCAGACUUCUGAGACAACCAGGUCCCUCAGGAGCCAUCAUUCACAGCUGUGCAAAGGCUGGUGGGCACAGCUGGGAUGGUAGGUGGUUGUCUCCCAUCAGCAAGAGUUUAUGGAAGAGAUCUUGUCUGCAAGAGGAGGAGGAGAAAAAAGGCAGAGGAAUCCCUCACUUCAAAUGAGGUUAUGGAGAUGCGUAAAAUGUGGGCAACAGUGCAAAAUUUUGUGGAAAAACACCACCCGAAUAAAGCUGUAGCAGUGCGAGCAAUGAAUCUGUCUAACCACAAUACAAUGUCUCAUUUCUGCGAAAUCCUCAAAAGGAGGCAAAAGCAAGUGUCACUGGAUAGGUUCUUUGUUAGAUUUGCAUGAAAAGAAAAAGACCCCAUUGAGCCAACAGAUAGC